rnacentral:rRNA from 1 species
GAAAGGCUGGGGCUUNACCCUGGUUUUGCAGUGGGUACGGGCUAACUAGAGUNCAGUAGGGGAGACUGGAAUUCCUGGUGUAGCGGUGGAAUGCGCAGAUAUCAGGAGGAACACCGAUGGCGAAGGCAGGUCUCUGGGCUGUAACUGACGCUGAGAAGCGAAAGCAUGGGGAGCGAACAGGAUUAGAUACCCUGGUAGUCCAUGCCGUAAACGUUGGGCACUAGGUGUGGGGGACAUUCCACGUUUUCCGCGCCGUAGCUAACGCAUUAAGUGCCCCGCCUGGGGAGUACGGCCGCAAGGCUAAAACUCAAAGAAAUUGACGGGGGCCCGCACAAGCGGCGGAGCAUGCGGAUUAAUUCGAUGCAACGCGAAGAACCUUACCAAGGCUUGACAUAUACUGGACUGCGUCAGAGAUGGCGUUUCCCUUCGGGGCUGGUAUACAGGUGGUGCAUGGUUGUCGUCAGCUCGUGUCGUGAGAUGUUGGGUUAAGUCCCGCAACGAGCGCAACCCUCGUUCUAUGUUGCCAGCACGUGAUGGUGGGGACUCAUAGGAGACUGCCGGGGUUAACUCGGAGGAAGGUGGGGAUGACGUCAAAUCAUCAUGCCCCUUAUGUCUUGGGCUUCACGCAUGCUACAAUGGCCGGUACAGAGGGUUGCGAUACUGUGAGGUGGAGCUAAUCCCUAAAAGCCGGUCUCAGUUCGGAUUGGGGUCUGCAACUCGACCCCAUGAAGUCGGAGUCGCUAGUAAUCGCAGAUCAGCAACGCUGCGGUGAAUACGUUCCCGGGCCUUGUACACACCGCCCGUCAAGUCACGAAAGUUGGUAACACCCGAGGCCGGUGGCCUAACCCUGGUGGGGGGAGC